GUCUUUUUGGAAAUAAUUUAAAGUCUAAUCUGCCCACUGAUAAAUAUUAAAGGGCUGCAGUAUAUUGACUGUACAAAGGUAGCAUAAUCAUUAGUCUUUUAAUUGAAGACUUGUAUGAAAGAUUUAAUGAAAUAUAAACUGUCUCUUAUUUAUAAUUAGAAUUUAAUUUUUUAGUUAAAAAGCUAAAAUAAAUUUAAAAGACGAGAAGACCCUAUAGAGUUUUAUAAUUAAUUUAUUUUAGAUUAUAUAUAUAAUUUAAAAUUAAAAAUAAAUUAAUUAUUUUAUUGGGGUGAUAGAAAAAUUAAAUAAACUUUUUUUAAAUAUAGUCAUAAAUAAAUGAUUAAAUGAUCCAUUAAUAAUGAUUAAAAGAAAAAAUUACCUUAGGGAUAACAGCGUAAUUUUUUUUUUUAGUUCAAAUAAAAAAAAGAGAUUGCGACCUCGAUGUUGGAUUAAGAUAAAAUAUAAAUGCAAAAGUUUAAAAUUUUGAUCUGUUCGAUCAUUAAAAUCUU
rnacentral:rRNA from 1 species